rnacentral:lncRNA from 1 species
CUGUGGGGCUGCGGACCGUGGACAUGAGGUGUGACUUGUAGGUCUUGCUCAGGCCAGUCAUCCAGAACUUCAGCAGCUUGACAUUGUCCUCCUCGGACGCACCCAGGAUGCUCAGCAGCUUCUGUGUGUCCUCUUUGGGUCGACUGUCCACCUUGGUGAACUUAAAAAGCACCUUCACUUUGCUGAAGAAAACCAAAACAAAA